rnacentral:rRNA from 1 species
GACGAACCGUACAAACGUUAUUCGGAAUCACUGGGCUUAAAGGGUGCGUAGGCGGCCCGGAAAGUUGGGUGUGAAAUACCUCGGCUCAACCGAGGAACGGCGCUCAAAACUACCGGGCUUGAGGAAGACAGAGGUGAGCGGAACUACGGGUGGAGCGGUGAAAUGCGUUGAUAUCCGUAGGAACACCGGUAGCGAAAGCGGCUCACUGGGUCUUAUCUGACGCUGAGUGCACGAAAGCUAGGGGAGCGAACGGG